AGUGAACGCUGGCGGUAGGCCUAACACAUGCAAGUCGAACGGCAGCACAGUAAGAGCUUGCUCUUACGGGUGGCGAGUGGCGGACGGGUGAGGAAUACAUCGGAAUCUACUUUUUCGUGGGGGAUAACGUAGGGAAACUUACGCUAAUACCGCAUACGACCUACGGGUGAAAGCAGGGGAUCUUCGGACCUUGCGCGAUUGAAUGAGCCGAUGUCGGAUUAGCUAGUUGGCGGGGUAAAGGCCCACCAAGGCGACGACCCGUAGCUGGUCUGAGAGGAUGAUCAGCCACACUGGAACUGAGACACGGUCCAGACUCCUACGGGAGGCAGCAGUGGGGAAUAUUGGACAAUGGACGCAAGCCUGAUCCAGCCAUACCGCGUGGGUGAAGAAGGCCUUCGGGUUGUAAAGCCCUUUUGUUGGGAAAGAAAAGCAGCAGGUUAAUACCCCGCUGUUCUGACGGUACCCAAAGAAUAAGCACCGGCUAACUUCGUG
rnacentral:rRNA from 1 species